UGCGUAGGCGGAUUAAUAAGUCAGUGGUGAAAUCUUUCGGCUCAACCGAGAAACUGCCAUUGAUACUGUUAAUCUCGAGUUCGGUUGAGGUAGGCGGAAUGUGUAAUGUAGCGGUGAAAUGCUUAGAUAUUACACAGAACACCAAUUGCGUAGGCAGCUUACUAGACCGACACUGACGCUGAGGCACGAAAGCGUGGGGAGCGAACAGGAUUAGAUACCCUGGUAGUCC
rnacentral:rRNA from 1 species